rnacentral:tRNA from 1 species
UCCCCGGUAGCUCAGUUGGCAGAGCAGGUGGCUGUUAACCACCGGGCCGAUGGUUCGAGUCCGUCCCGGGGAGCCA